UAAUCAUUUUCUGCCAACAAUUUCAUAGAUGAAUUGCAAAAGAAUAAUUCAAACGGUAAGCUAAUUGAUAAUUUUGCUUAUUCUGCCAACAAUUUCAUAGAGAGUUCCAACUCCAACACCCAGCUUUCACCUCAUGCGAAUUUUACUGGGACAACGUCAUAUGUGGUACCAGAGUCAGAAACCAUCUUGAAAUGUGAUGAUUCCACUGAACAUAUUAUGCACAAACAACGUUUAGGAGAAAUGGAUGAACUUGAUGCAGAACUUGCAGCUAAGUUUGAACGUUUGUAGCUUAGCUUGGAUACAGAACAGGCUCAGCACCAAUGUUCAAAGGAUGUUAUGGACACUGCUUCUUCAGUAAGCCAGAGCCUGAGUUAUGGGGAGGUAAUACCAUCCCCGGUCUUCCAAAUACAAUAAAAGAAAUAUAGAACUAAUGGAAAAGGAAACGUGUCUUUGGGCAAGGCUACUGGGUCAUUGUUUAAAGUUUCAAGUGAUUGAUAUUAAUAUGCUAAUAUAAUUAUAUUUUGAGAGUUUGCAGUACUCUUCUUUCUAGUAGCUGACAGUGAGAGACGAUAGUGUACUUGAUGAGGAAAUGUUGUUGAUCUUAAGGUCCUCUUGAUUGGAGAAGAGGUGGGAAAUUUGUAUUUAUUUUUUCUUAGUGCUCUUUCAUUCUUUUUGUUCUUCAUUUUUCUUCAAAUUGUUUUUCAUUCCAGGUUGGGGAAUACCAAGAAGCAUACAAGGUUGGAUUUUCUUAUUUAUUGAAAAGAUGAAUUUUUUUUCUUAUGUAAUCUUCUUUACAAACUCUUGUCUAAUACUGCCCAUUUCCCCUAUGCUUUUGCAUAGAUAUUCAAAGAUCUUUUGGACAAGUAUGGCCCUGACAGAGUUCUUGAUACUCCAAUCAGAGAGGUACGUUUUGUUACUUGCCAUGUUGACCUUUCUCCUGUUUUUUUUUUUUUUUGUUGGUUUGUGUGGGAAGAUGGGUCUAGUUACGUAGAUAUAAUUCAUGGUAUUAUUAUGGCUUAUUUUUCCUUGUAUUGAAUCAUAUAUUAAUAAUAACAUGUUAUUCAAUUCUUAAAACUGGCCAUUUGAUUUUUGGAAGUAAGAAAGGAGAUUAUUCUUGUUUAUUUACUUUAGUAGCAGCACUUGCAUGACCUGAGCUACCUAACAUGAGUUAGUUUUAAUUUCUUUAUUUGUUUUGAAUUUAUGUUCUCUCUCUUUCUCCUUUUCUUUUUUAUUUUGAAACAUCUCAGUUUGAGAAAAAAUUGUGUCAAUGAUCUUUUUUUUUUAUGGAUCUGUUUAGAAUGGCUUAAGCUUGAAUAUAUUUAGCAAUGACACUAUUCUGUAUAUCUUCUGCCAUCUUGAAUUAUCUCAAUUUCUUUGUACGCUUUGUUGAUAUUUCAGAUUGUUAAGGCUCAAGCUCAAUUAGAUUUAGGUAUCUCAAUUGUCUUAUAAUAUUGAUAUUUUGUCUUGCAUUAUAGUUUUAAGGUGAAUGUUGAAAAAGAGGAGAGAAGUGACAUUCUCAACAUUUCUAAAAUCUGAUGUUUUUUUCUAUGGAUUUUCCCAACCCGCAUUUUUCUUUUUGAGAAGUGGUGAAUGCUUUUGUAGCCAUUUCUUUGGGUGCACCAAUAGGUAUGCCACUUGCAAGCUUGGCAUGCUAUUCUUGUUUAGGCUCAUAAUACCGAGCUAGAAGAUGAACCUCCAACAAAAAGACGACUUUCAUCAGCCUUUGUCAAGGUGACUGGACAAUAACACUUUGAGUGGAGCAAUUCCUGCAUCUUUGGCUAACAUGACACAGCUUGCCUUCCUGGACCUGUCAUACAACAAUCUAAGUGGUCCAGUACCAAGGUUUCCUGCCAAGACCUUCAAGUA